AGCGGGGAAAUGUAGCUUGCUACAUUACCUUAGNCGGCGGACGGGUGAGUAAUGCUUAGGAAUCUGCCUAUUAGUGGGGGACAACAUCUCGAAAGGGAUGCUAAUACCGCAUACGUCCUACGGGAGAAAGCAGGGGAUCUUCGGACCUUGCGCUAAUAGAUGAGCCUAAGUCGGAUUAGCUAGUUGGUGGGGUAAAGGCCUACCAAGGCGACGAUCUGUAGCGGGUCUGAGAGGAUGAUCCGCCACACUGGGACUGAGACACGGCCAGACUCCUACGGGAGGCAGCAGUGGGGAAUAUUGGACAAUGGGGGGAACCCUGAUCCAGCCAUGCCGCGUGUGUGAAGAAGGCCUUUUCGGUCUGUAAAGCACUUUAAGCGAGGAGGAGGCUACUCUAGUUAAUACCUAGGGAUAGUGGACGUUACUCGCAGAAUAACGCACCGGCUAACUCUGUGCCAGCAGCCGCGGUAAUACAGAGGGUGCAAGCGUUAAUCGGAUUUACUGGGCGUAAAGCGCGCGUAGGUGGCCCAAUUAA
rnacentral:rRNA from 1 species